CUUGCAGGGUACUCGAGUGGCGAACGGGUGAGUAACACGUGGGUGAUCUGCCCUGCACUUCGGGAUAAGCUUGGGAAACUGGGUCUAAUACCGGAUAGGAACCAUCUUUAGUGUGGUGGUUGGAAAGUUUUUUCGGUGUAGGAUGAGCUCGCGGCCUAUCAGCUUGUUGGUGGGGUAAUGGCCUACCAAGGCGGCGACGGGUAGCCGGCCUGAGAGGGUGUACGGCCACAUUGGGACUGAGAUACGGCCCAGACUCCUACGGGAGGCAGCAGUGGGGAAUAUUGCACAAUGGGCGCAAGCCUGAUGCAGCGACGCCGCGUGGGGGAUGAAGGCCUUCGGGUUGUAAACUCCUUUCGCUAGGGACGAAGCUUUUUUGUGACGGUACCUAGAUAAGAAGCACCGGCUAACUA
rnacentral:rRNA from 1 species